GCCAAAGGGAUAAAAGGAGAACUGGAAGGGAAGAUUUCAUGCUGUUGAUUUUCCUGGAGAAGCAUCCUGUGGCUGGUUUUCUGGAUAUGAACUUAGCUGUUGUUGUCAUCAGAGGAGCUCAGGUCCUCGCUGUCAACAGGGACGGCCGCUGUUCUCUUCCAGGGAGCUCAGGUCUUCGGUUCCUGGCUCCACUGCAGAUCCCUCAGCCCACCAGUGCAGACUUUCUGGCUUCCACCACUGGCCUUGGCCUUCCUGGUGCAGUUUCUCGAUACGGACUUGCAGGAGACAUUGCCAUGGGCUCCAGGCCUUCAGCUGGACUCUGCAGGACACUGCUGUGGGAUCUAAGGCCUCAGCUCCUGGCCUCCUCCGAUGGACCCCUGAGUAUUCGGGGAUUUGUGGAGAUUUGAGCUUGAGGUGCUCAGCUUCCCGCUGCCCCGAUCUCCGGCUUCGCUCAUCAGCCCCUGCACCCCUCAUGGGCGUGCUCUCUGGGGGACGAGCUCCAUCUGCUCUGGUCAGGGCUGAAGGGCGCCACUCUGGCCACGGAGGAGAGCCAUCCCUGUCGCCGUCUCUCCAUCCCCAGCAAAGACAGGCCUUACGCCGAGAGUCCGUGGCACAGGUGCUACGGGGCUGUCAGUAUGGUAAGAUUGGGCUUGAAGGUCUGUGGAUGACAGAGAGGGAAUACAGUCCAAAGAAUAGUUGACACCGGUCCAGGCCUGUGGCUUUCAGAAGGUCGCUUCUCUCACCUGUCACAUUCACAUCUGUCAAAGUCAACCACUGCAGGGACAAAGAACCACCAACCAGGGCUGUGCCGUCUUCCCAUUCAGGGCUCAUCGCUGCAGUCUGUGUUCUGUGUUCCCACGUCUGUCUCUUCCCAGCAAGAUGAACUCUGGAAAUUGAAGGACCCUAGUUAGCAAGACAGACUCCAUAUUGCUGCUUGACCCACCUGCCUGCCCUUUAGAUGAACUCAGAAGGAGGAAGCUUAGAAACCUCCUCCCCUUAGAGAGUCUCUUAGAAACAACAAGUAAUCAACUGUUGUUUUACAAAUGUUCUAACAGCAGGACGUUCCACUUCUGUACCUUUUGCUUGCUUUGCUAGUUCUAUCUCAUAGGGGGGCCUAGAAACUGUUGGCCUCAAAGGUGUAUAAAACAUGUUUGUCUCCCCCCAGUCAGGGCUCGAGUCCGAUACUUGGCUCGGGUCCCGGCCGG
rnacentral:lncRNA from 1 species